AGCAACCUAAGUCCAAAAUGAGGUCAAGGUCAAGGUUAAACUGAGGUCAGGUGAUGUCUGAAGAUGAGGAAUAGUCACAGGUUACAUCGGCAUUAGUAUCAAUUCAUUCUUGUAAGCGGUAUUGAUGCUAGACGAAACGGUCCCAUUUGGUUAACCUCAUACGGACGGACGGACAGGACAAUCACUAUAUGCCUCCCGCAUCAGUAGAUGCCGGGGGUAUAAUAAAAACACUAUCGCUUCCUAUUUCACAUUUUACUAACGAUUUAUCGUUUUCAUUUGGUCAAAGGGACAAAACUCUACACGGCUUAACUUAUAUAGUAACUAAAAUCAAGAGCAUUAAUUAUCUCUGGUGAGAAACCAAUAACCACUUGUACAGCAAAACGAUACUGGUAAAUCGUCUGUUCAGCAAAGUUAACUUGUGUACAUGUUUACGAUAAAAUGGAGUUAUAGGUUAUAGAGUUAGUAGUUAGUAUAUGAACGGCAAACGAGGAAAUAAACAUCUCCUGGCUUCUAACAUAGUGAGCAAUGUUAACAAAAAUAUUGGAAAAACCGAUGGAUGACCCCCGAAAUACGAGUCUUGCAAAGUAAAAGAACAAACGUGGAAUUCAGACUGGGCACACACGUAAAAACAUAGUUUACUAAUGUUGAAUAAUCAAAGUGCAAUAUCUCAUUGAAAAAUCAUUUCACCGGAACAUGAAGAAUAUAUGCACACCUCUACUUAAGAACGAAGCAUCCUAUGAAUUUUCGCUGCAUUACAGCCAGUGGUUGCUGCGAAAUACUUUUGACUAGGACGGCGUAUUUGUUAACUAAUGUUGAAUCACAUAUAGGGAAUAACUCUGUAAAAUGCAUCCGACGGGGAUAUGGAGAUAAUAUACGCAUCUCCUCUUGAACGUGAUCUUUCAUAGGAAGGUUCGAUGAAUUUCAGCUAGUGGUUGCUGAGGAAUACUCCGGACAAGAAAUGGUACUACAGUAUACUAAUGUUGAAUUAUAUAAGGACUAUAACUCAAAGAAAAAUCAACCAACCAGAACAUGAAUAUAAUAUGCGCAUCUCCACUUGAUAGUAAAGCUUGUCAUGAAGUUUUGCCGGAUUCCAAUUGUGGUUGCUGAAAAAAUACUCCGGAGAAAAAUUGUACUAUAUUAAAAUAUGUUGAAUAAUCAAAGGGCAAUAACCCGGUGAAAUAUCAUCCGAACAAAACACGAAAAUAAAACGUGCAUCUCCUUUUAAAAGAAAAUAUGAAGUUUCGGUUAAUUCCAACGAUGGUUGCUGAGAAUUACUCCGGAAAAGAAUUGUACUAUAGUAUACUAAUGUUGAAUAAUCAAAGGGCAAUAACUCAAUCAGAACACGAAGCAAUAUCCGCAUCUCAUCUUGGUAAUGAAGCUUCCUAAGAAGUUUGGCUAAAUUCCAACCAGUGGUACCUGAGAAAUACUCCGGAGAAGAAUUGCAGGACGGACGAAAGAACGGACGAAUCUGCGAUUAUAAUUAUGUUUCCCAUUCGGGGAAUACAAUUAGAAAAAUACACUGAUUUUGAGAAUAACUGAAAAACAGAAGCCAUUAAAACAGCAAUGAUAAUACAUGCAUUAACCGAAACGAUUCAAAUCCGGUACAUGAGAAUACAUGUUUGGGUUUAAUUGCCUUACUUUCAAUUUGUCAAAGAAAUCAUUAACCCUUUGCCUGCUGGCGGCAGUAAUUCUGCCUUUGCGACCAGUGCAGACCAAGAUCAGCCUGCACAUCCGUGCAGUCUGAUCAUGGUCUGCACUGUUCGCUAUUCAGUCAGUAAAUUUUCAGUAAACACCCCUUCGAAUAAUAAAUGGUAUUGCCCAAAUUGAAUGAUGGACCAGUCCAUUAUAGAAAUUUAGCAGGCUAAGGGUUAAUGAAUGGAAGAAGCGCAGUCACUAUCAUAAGCAUUAACAACCGUGAAACAGUUUUUGAAACUAAUUGUUUACAAGUGGCCCGUAAAGUCAACCAGUGUUCCUAGAUUUUGUACCAAUUAUGACUUGCUAACCGGCAAGUAAUUGAUCUUCUUUGAAAGAAUCUCAUGUGAAGGACGUCUGGCUUCAGACAUAUUGGAUAGCAUGCUUGUAUAGUUGCAAUUAAUACUUACAUGAUGUAGGUAUAUAUAAUCAAUGGCGCAGGAUCCUUAUGGGAACAAUUGCAAAAAAUUUGAUAAGAACCAAACAGUAGCAAAGAUAAUCAGCGCUGACCACUUUCUGCACCACCACCUGCAUAAAAAUUCAAAUUCUUUUUUACAUUGCACAAAUAACUCUGGUAAAACUAAGUUCAUUUUCGCAUUUGCUUGCAUGGAAUCAGUUUUGAAAAAAAUAGCAAAAUGAUCAUAUAAAUAUAUUUUUCUAUAUAAAUAUC